rnacentral:rRNA from 1 species
UACGGAGGGUGCGAGCGUUAAUCGGAAUUACUGGGCGUAAAGCGCACGCAGGCGGAUUGUUAAGCUAGAGGUGAAAGCCCCCGCGCUCAACGUGGGAAUUGCCUUUAGAACUGGCAGUCUAGAUCUUGGAGAGGGGAGUGGAAUUCCAGGUGUAGCGGUGAAAUGCGUAGAGAUCUGGAGGAACAUCAGUGGCGAAGGCGACUCCCUGGCCAAAGACUGACGCUCAUGUGCGAAAAGUGUGGUAGCGAACAGGAUUAGAUACCCCCGUAGUCC